rnacentral:piRNA from 1 species
UAGUUGAGCUCUGCUUAAUCCGGGCCU